rnacentral:rRNA from 1 species
CAGUAGCCGCGGUAAUACGUAGGUGGCAAGCGUUGUCCGGAAUUAUUGGGCGUAAAGGACUCGCAGGCGGUUUCUUAAGUCUGAUGUGAAAGCCCCCGGCUCACCGGGGAGGGUCAUUGGAAACUGGGAAACUUGAGUGCAGAAGAGGAGAGUGGAAUUCCACGUGUAGCGGUGAAAUGCGUAGAGAUGUGGAGGAACACCAGUGGCGAAGGCGACUCUCUGGUCUGUAACUGACGCUGAGGAGCGAAAGCGUGGGGAGCGAACAGGAUUAGAUACCCCGGUAGUCCCUGUCUCUUAUACA